rnacentral:rRNA from 1 species
CCAGACUCCUACGGGAGGCAGCAGUGAGGAAUAUUGGUCAAUGGCCGAGAGGCUGAACCAGCCAAGUCGCGUGAGGGAAGACGGCCCUACGGGUUGUAAACCUCUUUUGUCGGGGAGCAAAGAGAGUCACGUGUGACUCAUUGAGAGUACCCGAAGAAAAAGCAUCGGCUAACUCCGUGCCAGCAGCCGCGGUAAUACGGAGGAUGCGAGCGUUAUCCGGAUUUAUUGGGUUUAAAGGGUGCGCAGGCGGAGGUGCAAGUCAGCGGUCAAAUUGCGGGGCUCAACCCCGUACUGCCGUUGAAACUGGCGUUCUUGAGUGAGCGAGAAGUAUGCGGAAUGCGUGGUGUAGCGGUGAAAUGCAUAGAUAUCACGCAGAACUCCGAUUGCGAAGGCAGCAUACCGGCGCUCAACUGACGCUCAUGCACGAAAGCGUGGGUAUCGAACAGGAUUAGAUACCCCUGUA